rnacentral:tRNA from 1 species
CCGGGAUAGCUCANCCGGUA